UGGCCACUUGUGCCCUAGCUGUUAGCAUAGGUAGCACCGAAUGGGUUGUGUGUACUCUCGUGAGUUAAACCUGGGUGGUUGUUGAUACGGGGCAGACGGAGGGGGUGCUGAUGGCCGAUUCAUUGUAGGCUGAUAGAUGUUAGCUGCUGUUGGUGUUGCUGGCAUGUACUCCACUCUGGCGGGAGCCUUGCUGAUGGAACUG